GGGCUUCAUUAUAAAACAGGAGAUGAGAUCAUCCCUCCUCUUCCCACACUCUUUGCCCUCCACCCCACGCCCCCCCAAAAGGAAUAGAAAGAAGAAGGAAUUGCACUGGCUUCUCACCUGCCUGCUGAAUACCUGCAACCUCCCCCUCAGCCCUGGCCUUUGAUGCUGGAGCCGGGCUUGCACUUGGGCCGAUGUGAGGACAAAGAGGGUACUGCGGACCCCGAGCCUUGCUCCCACCCCUUUUGCCUCACUCUCCAGACUUACCUCUCUAGCCUUUGGGAGGACCGUGCAAAAGGGAGGGCACUUAUUUGGAUGCCUUGUCGGGAACUAAUUUCUACUUUCUUAGGCAGAACAGAACUCGAUAUUCUUCUUCCCCAAAGCUACUCUCUCUCUAUCUAUCUGGGGCAAUUGAUUCCUCUUACUUUUCCUAUAGCACUAGAUUGUUGCUGAGGAAGCGAUUCUAAGUGCUAAAAUGUACGUGUAGGAAAAAAAAUCAAAGCAGAGAGGCUGCCCGGGAUCUUCCCCUUGGCAGGGCUUGCCCUUCGGAAGGAGCAGGCCAGCUUCUACCACAAGGUGACCAGAUGGAAGUUUUGACCAAAAGUCUCACUCACAAACGCCACUGCAUGGGGCUCGUGGUGUCCUGGGCAGGAGCUCCGGCACCAGGUAGGAGGGCUGGGCAGCCGCUCUGGAAUUAUUCCCUAGAGCUGUACAACCUCCGAUAAAUCAAUCCCUCUGAGCCUUAGUUUCCUGACUUCACAGGGUUUUGU
rnacentral:lncRNA from 1 species